rnacentral:rRNA from 1 species
GUAGGGUGCGAGCGUUAAUCGGAAUUACUGGGCGUAAAGCGUGCGCAGGCGGUUGUGCAAGACAGGCGUGAAAUCCCCGGGCUUAACCUGGGAAUGGCGCUUGUGACUGCACGGCUAGAGUACGGCAGAGGGGGGUGGAAUUCCACGUGUAGCAGUGAAAUGCGUAGAGAUGUGGAGGAACACCGAUGGCGAAGGCAGCCCCCUGGGCCAGUACUGACGCUCAUGCACGAAAGCGUGGGGAGCAAACAGGAUUAGAUACCUUGGUAGUCUACGCCCUAAACGAUGUCAACUAGGUGUUGGGUGGGUAAAACCAUUUAGUACCGUAGCUAACGCGUGAAGUUGACCGCCUGGGGAGUACGGCUGCAAGGUUA